AGCAACUGGAAAACAAGCAUUGUAUUGCAUGAGGAUGUCUAUGAAAUGGACUUCAGCUCUUCUGCUGAUACAGCUGAGCUGUUACUUUGGCUCUGGGAGUUGUGGAAAGGUGCUGGUGUGGCCCACAGAAUUCAGCCAUUGGAUGAAUAUAAAGACAAUCCUGGAUGAACUUGUCCAGAGAGGUCAUGAGGUGACUGUAUUGGCAUAUUCAACUUCCAUUCUUCCUGAUCCCAACAACCCAUCUGCUCUUAAAUUUGAAGUUUCUCCUACAUCUUUAACUGAAACUGAGUUUGAGGAUAGCAUCACGCAAUUGGUUAAGAGAUGGUCAGAUGUUCCAAAAGACACAUUUUGGCCACAUUUUUUACAAGUACAAGAAAUGAUGUGGUCAUAUAGUGACAUGAUUAGAAAAUUCUGUGAAGAUGUGGUUUCAAAUAAGAAACUUAUGAAGAAACUACAGGAGUCAAGAUUUGAUGUUGUUCUUGCAGAUGCUGUUUCCCCCUGUGGAAAUGGAAGAGUUUGUCCAAAGCUCUGGAGAAAAUGGUGUUGUGGUGUUUUCUCUGGGGUCAAUGGUCAGUAACACAUCAGAAGAAAGGGCCAAUGUAAUUGCAACAGCCCUUGCCAAGAUCCCACAAAAGGUUCUGUGGAGAUUUGAUGGCAAUAAACCAGAUACCUUAGGACUCAAUACUCAGCUUUAUAAGUGGAUACCCCAGAAUGAUCUUCUUGAUAUAAAGAGAAUGCUAUGAAAUUAUCAAGAAUUCAUCAUGAUCAGCCAGUAAAGCCCCUGGAUCGAGCAGUCUUCUGGAUUGAAUUUGUCAUGCGCCAUAAAGGAGCCAAGCACCUUCGGGUUGCAGCUCACGACCUCACCUGGUUCCAGUAUCACUCUUUGGAUGUGAUUGGGUUCCUCCUGGCCUGUGUGGCAGCUGUGAUAUUCAUCAUCACAAAAUGUCUGUUUUGUGUCUGGAAGUUUGUUAGAACAGGAAAGAAGGGAAAAAGAGAUUAACUACGUCUGAGGCUGGAAGGUGGGAAACCUGAUAAAUGAGACUCCUUCAGUUUAUUACGAAAAGAAGAGGUUGUGAUACAAGAUUCCUUUCUUCUUUUGACAAAACAUCUUUCAAAACUUGCCUUGUCAAGUCAAAAUUUGUUUUUUAGAGAUUUAGUACCUGUUUAACCAUUAGAAAUAUUUCAUGUCAAGGAGGAAAACAUUAGAGAAAACAAAAAUGAUAUAAAGGCAUAUGAGCUUAUGUUGAAAUUUAUUGAGCUCAUAUUGAAAUUUAUUGUUCUAAUUCACAGUUUACAUGAAAAAAAUUUACUG
rnacentral:sRNA from 1 species